AUUGAACGCUGGCGGCAUGCCUUACACAUGCAAGUCGAACGGCAGCACGGGUGCUUGCACCUGGUGGCGAGUGGCGAACGGGUGAGUAAUACAUCGGAACAUGUCCUGUAGUGGGGGAUAGCCAGGCGAAAGCCGGAUUAAUACCGCAUACGAUCUACGGAUGAAAGCGGGGGACCUUCGGGCCUCGCGCUAUAGGGUUGGCCGAUGGCUGAUUAGCUAGUUGGUGGGGUAAAGGCCUACCAAGGCGACGAUCAGUAGCUGGUCUGAGAGGACGACCAGCCACACUGGGACUGAGACACGGCCCUGACUCCUACGGGAGGCAGCAGUGGGGAAUUUUGGACAAUGGGCGAAAGCCUGAUCCAGCAAUGCCGCGUGUGUGAAGAAGGCCUUCGGGUUGUAAAGCACUUUUGUCCGGAAAGAAAUCCUUGGCUCUAAUACAGUCGGGGGAUGACGGUACCGGAAGAAUAAGCACCGGCUAACUACGUGCCAGCAGCCGCGGUAAUACGUAGGGUGCGAGCGUUAAUCGGAAUUACUGGGCGUAAAGCGUGCGCAGGCGGUUUGCUAAGACCGAUGUGAAAUCCCCGGGCUCAACCUGGGAACUGCAUUGGUGACUGGCAGGCUAGAGUAUGGCAGAGGGGGGUAGAAUUCCACGUGUAGCAGUGAAAUGCGUAGAGAUGUGGAGGAAUACCGAUGGCGAAGGCAGCCCCCUGGGCCAAUACUGACGCUCAUGCACGAAAGCGUGGGGAGCAAACAGG
rnacentral:rRNA from 1 species